rnacentral:rRNA from 1 species
AUGGUGCAGAAGAUUGAGCUGGCUCCAAACAAGUUGAAGUUAGAAGGUGUAGAGAACUACCUGAGGUGGUCGAGGAGAGGUAAACUCAUCCUCAGAACUAAGUCACUGGAAGACUAUGCUCUUGGUGAGGUGAAGGAACCAGAAGACAAGAGGGGAGCCUCAUGGAAGAAAUGGAAUGCCACGGAUAUUUUGGUGUUGAAUUGGCUGCUGAGUUCUCUAUCCCCUUCUGUUGCUGCUUCGGUGGAGGACCUCCCUACUGCUGCUGAGGUAUGGGCAGCGUUAGCUAGUAUGUACUCAGGGAAGGGAAAUGUCAUGUUGGUCUCCAAAAUUGAAGACACUGUGCAUGAUCUCACUCAAGGUGAUAGGACUGUAAUGAUGUAUGUUGAAGAGCUGAAACAUCUUUGGGCUGAUUUAGACUAUCUUGCACCUCUUGUGUUGCCACAUGUUGAGUGUGCAGUGAUAGCUAGAAAGUGGGUUGAGGAUAGCGUGUCCUCAAGUUUCUGA